rnacentral:rRNA from 1 species
UACUGAGGGUGCAAGCGUUAUCCGGAUUCACUGGGUUUAAAGGGUGCGUAGGCGGGCAGGUAAGUCCGUGGUGAAAUCUCUGAGCUUAACUCAGAAACUGCCAUGGAUACUAUUUGUCUUGAAUGUUGUGGAGGUAAGCGGAAUAUGUCAUGUAGCGGUGAAAUGCUUAGAUAUGACAUAGAACACCAAUUGCGAAGGCAGCUUACUACACAAAUAUUGACGCUGAGGCACGAAAGCGUGGGGAUCAAACAGG